GCCUCGUCGGCAAUCCUAGGUCCUAUUCCCAACUAAGACAGAGCAGGACAACUACAAUGCUCGGGGAAACCGCCCACGACUCUUCCGAGAGGAGACUGGAAGAGUCUGGCCUAAAAACAAGGGACGUGGUUGCUCCCUAACAUGAUGGCGCUGAGAGACCCGAAUCAGGGUGGGGGUCUGCAUCCCAUCCGGAACGUGCCGAGACCCUGGUUUCCUCUGGCUGAUCGGUGACCGUGCUGACACCAUGAUCAGAGUCCUGACCCACUGCAGCUGUGACAGCAACUCUAAAGCAGACAAGACCACAGAAGCACCAAAGAAAUGGCAGGAAAAGAGAAGGGAAGAAAAAGCCCUGGAGAAAGGACGGAGACACACUGCAUGCAUGCCCCCCGCUCCCCUGUUUAAGACAAGGGUCUUAAAGGCUUGUUUCAAUGGCUUUAAGCCCCCUAGAAAGGCCACGUAGAAGGACCUCCCUGUAAAUAGCGAUCAAGGUCCUUCGC